AAUGAACGCUGGCGGCAGGCCUAAAACAUGCAAGUCGAACGCCCUAGCAAUAGGGAGUGGCGCACGGGUGAGUAACAUGUGGGAAUAUGCCUUUUGGUACGGAACAACGUUUGGAAACGAACGCUAAUACCGUAUGGUCCCUCCGGGGUAAAGAUUAAUCGCCAAAAGAUUAGCCCGCACUAGAUUAGCUAGUUGGUAAGGUAAUGGCUUACCAAGGCGAAGAUCUAUAGCUGUUCUGAGAGGAAGAUCAGCCACACUGGGACUGAGACACGGCCCAGUCUCCUACGGGAGGCAGCAGUUAGGAAUAUUGGACAAUGGGCGCAGGCCUGAUCCAGCCAUGCCGCGUGAGUGAUGAAGGCCUUCGGGUUGUAAAGCUCUUUAGCCGACGAAUAUAAUGACUGUAGUCGGAGAAUAAGCCCCGGCUAACCUCGUGCCAGCCGCCGCCGUAAUAC
rnacentral:rRNA from 1 species